rnacentral:misc_RNA from 1 species
UUUUAGAGGGGUAUAGCGUAUACUGGAAUAAGGUGGCGUUUCCAUUAGGAAUCACUUUGGGUAGUGUGUGCUAGUCGUACAAAGUUCUCUUCCAUCUUGUUUCUUUUUUGAAUCGCGUGUGUAGCCGGCGUGUUGUUAUUCUCUAUUUAACAAGUAGUCUUUAAUUGCAAUGUGUAAAAAUAGCAAAUAUUUCAGAAGUAUCAUCAAAAUAAACUAGGUAGGAAGUUCUAAGUGUAAGAUAUCUUUUUCAAGUAUUAAAAGUGGGGAAUGGCGUGUGUCUAUUCCUACCUGUACAUAGUUGUUGGCUAUGAAAAUGAAUUGCACAGAUUGGAAGAAUCUGGCAUGCAGUUAUGCUGAUUAUAUGUACUAGAUUAGCAAAACUGUGUAUUAAACAAGUUUGUGGAGUUCCUCCAUAUGUUAGAUGUUUUCUGACUGCCCCAUCUAAGUAUAAUAUUGAUAUGGCUGUACCUAGUCGGGCAAGAGUUUAUGCUGACGUUAAUUCCCACAAACCCCGGGAAUACUGGGACUAUGAAAGUUAUGUAGUAGAGUGGGGACAACAAGACGAUUACCAAUUGGUUCGCAAGUUAGGACGAGGAAAGUACAGCGAAGUUUUUGAAGCUAUUAAUGUAAUAAAUAAUGAAAAAUGUGUAGUGAAAAUAUUAAAGCCAGUUAAAAAGAAGAAAAUUAAACGAGAGAUAAAGAUCUUGGAAAAUCUAAGGGGGGGAACUAAUAUAAUCACUUUGGAAGCAGUUGUUAAAGAUCCUGUUUCUAGAACUCCUGCUCUAAUUUUUGAGCAUGUUAAUAAUAUUGAUUUCAAACAGCUAUAUCAAACCCUAACAGAUUUUGAUAUACGAUUUUAUUUAUACGAACUGCUCAAAGCACUUGAUUAUUGCCAUAGUAUGGGAAUAAUGCAUAGGGAUGUCAAGCCCCAUAACGUGAUGAUAGAUCAUGAAAGUAGGAAAUUACGCUUAAUCGAUUGGGGUCUUGCCGAAUUUUAUCACCCUGGACAGGAGUACAAUGUUCGAGUGGCCUCAAGAUAUUUUAAGGGUCCAGAAUUGCUGGUGGAUUAUCAAAUGUAUGAUUAUUCGUUGGAUAUGUGGUCAUUGGGAUGUAUGUUAGCUUCAAUGAUCUUCAGGAAGGAACCUUUUUUUCACGGACAUGACAAUUAUGAUCAGUUAGUUCGCAUUGCCAAAGUGUUAGGGACUGAAGAACUCUUGGAAUAUCUUGAUAAGUAUCAUAUAGAAUUAGAUCCACGAUUUAACGACAUUUUAGGAAGUAACAACAUUUCAGACACUCCAGAAAAAGGUGGGAGCGUUUUGUACAUAAUGAUAAUCAACAUUUAGUGUCUCCAGAGGCCCUGGAUUUUUUAGAUAAGCUCUUGCGUUAUGACCAUUUGGAACGCCUAACAGCUAGAGAUGCCAUGGAACAUGCGUAUUUCUACCCUGUAGUAAAAGAACAAUGUAGAAUGAUGUCGACUGUGUCUUCAUCACCAACCCCUUUGUCAGGAGGCUUAUCUGUGGUCGGCGUUGGCGAGUGAUCUACGCAGCAGAAGUAAAGUAACAAGUAUGAUUUAUGCCAUACCAAGAAUAAAAUAGUUACUAGUUCUGUCCUAUUCAUGGCUAUAUUUUAAAGAUGUGUACUCCAUAAACAUGUACACAGGGUCUGGAUGGGAUUUAAGUUUGACAUGUUCUCUAAUGUAUUCCUUUGUAUGUGGUAUUUGUUGCUCGAGAAUGUGUGAAAUGUGUUCUCAUCUCUUCUCAAAUUUUGAACUUUUUUUCUCAUCACGUUUACCUUUUUUUAAACCUGUACAUGUUCCUAAACAACAUUCUUUUUUGUUAACACAUAUUGUAUCCUAAAUUGUUUUGUUGUGGUAAUUUGCUGGUAACAGCUAUACUUCUGCCGUGUCAUUAAAUCUACAGAAUUGCGAAAUUGUGGUCAAAUCCCAGGUAUGUUAGUUGUGCCUUCAUAUUCGUGAAGUUGCAGUUCGUGUAUAUAUUGUCAAAAUUAAAUUUUUUGUUUGCUAUUAGGCGGUUAAGUCUUUGUAGAAAACGGUAAUUUACUUGUAUUGAUUUGGCUAUGCUAUGAACAUACUUGUUUACUUAAUUAUACCUUAACUUAAAAUUAUAUUACAAAUAAUUUUUAUUGGUA